UGUUUUUGGUGCCCUCAAGGGAGCCUUGGAUGGUGGAUUGGACAUUCCUCACAGCGACAAGAGGUUUGCUGGUUAUUCCAAGGAGGGUAAGCAGCUUGAUGCUGAAGUUCAUCGAAAGUACAUUUUUGGUGGACAUGUUGCUGCCUACAUGCGUACCUUGAUGGAAGACGAGCCGGAGAAAUAUCAAUCUCACUUCAGCGAAUACAUCAAGAGGGGCAUUGAGGCCGAUGACAUCGAGGGUCUAUACAAGAAAGUUCAUGCAGCCAUUCGUGCAGACCCAUCAGUGAAGAAAUCUGACAAACCACAACCUAAGGCACACAAGAGGUACAACUUGAAGAAGCUGACAUACGAUGAAAGAAAAGCCCGCUUGGUUGAGCGUUUGAAUGCACUUAACUCUGCAGCCGACGCUGACGAUGAUGAUGAGGAUGACGA
rnacentral:misc_RNA from 1 species